GCGGCUUGCCUAACAACCGCCAUUGCUAGGGAAUUCAUGGCGACCACGUCGGAGCGAUUUGGCUGACUUCCGGUUGAACUCAUUGUCCGUGUAAGCUAUUAAAUGCAGGUCAACAUGGAAGCAGCUGGCCACUUUUACACGGUGUGUACUUUUGAAAAGGCAUCGAGACAUGUAGACUGGCCGCCCGUAGAAUUUCUUUGUGUUUGAUUUUAUUUUCUUACUCAAGGAACUCAGCGUCAUUACAAGUGUGUUGCCACAGUUUGCGAGUCUGAAAAAACUCUAGAUCUAGAGUCUAGAUCUAACUACUAGAAAAUCUUGAUUCUACUUAGAUCUAGAUCUAGAUCUACUACGUUUUGAAAUUCAAGACAAUCAUUUCAAUCAAGCAGGACCAACAAGGUGUAAAGAGGAUUGCUAAUGAAAUCAGAAACUUGAUGGCUGACAUAAAGCAGCUGAGGAGAACAGAGGCUUGUGAGUGGAAUAGGUUGGUGGAACUUGUGUACAUCCCUUUCUAUGUUCAAUGUCUCAGGUGGA